CUUAACGAGGAUCUAUUGGAGGGCAAGUCUGGUGCCAGCAGCCGCGGUAACACCAGCUCCAAUAGCGUAUAUUAAAGCUGUUGCAGUUAAAAAGCUCGUAGUUGGAUUUCGGUUACGGAGGAUCUGGCUCGCGCCUUCGGGUGCGACGCCGGUAUUUUCCGGCCUACCUUCGUGGAGGAUGCCUCAGCUCUUCAUUGAGUUUUGGGGUGUAAUCCCGAUCAAUUACUUUGAAGAAAUUAGAGUGUUCAAAGCAGGCUAACGCUGUGAAUACAUUAGCAUGGAAUAAUAAAAUAGGACUUUGGUUCUAUUUUGUUGGUUUUAAGGACUAAAGUAAUGAUUGAUAGGGAUCGUUGGGGGUGCUCGUAUUCAACGGCCAGAGGUGAAAUUCUGUGAUUCGUUGAAGACGAACUUAUGCGAAAGCAUUCACCAAGGAGGUCUUCUUUAAUCAAGAACGAAAGUCGGGGGAUCGAAGACGAUCAGAUACCGUCGUAGUCUCAACCAUAAACUAUGCCAACCGGGGAUUGGUGGACGUUGAAUAUUGACUCCAUCAGGACCCUUCGGGAAACCUUUGAGUCUUUGGGUUCCGGGGGGAGUAUGGUCGCAAGGCUGAAACUUAAAGGAAUUGACGGAAGGGCACCACCAGGAGUGGAGCCUGCGGCUUAAUUUGACCCAACACGGGAAAACUUACCAGGUCCAGGCAUGGUUAGGAUUGACAGAUUGAAGUUCUUUCUUGAUUCCAUGGGUGGUGGUGCAUGGCCGUUCUUAGUUGGUGGAGUGAUUUGUCUGGUUAAUUCCGUUAACGAACGAGACCUCAGCCUGCUAACUAGUGGCUCGAAAUCUCGAUUUCGCAGCAACUUCUUAGAGGGACAGUCGGUUUUGAAACCGAAGGAAGUUUGAGGCAAUAACAGGUCUGUGAUGCCCUUAGAUGUUCUGGGCCGCACGCGCGCUACACUGGCGGAUGCAGCGAGUUUACAACCUUGGCCGGUAGGUCUGGGUAAUCUUUGAAAGUCCGCCGUGAUGGGGCUAAAUUAUUGCAAUUAUUAAUCUUCAACGAGGAAUUCCUAGUAAUCGCAAGUCAUCAGCUUGCAAUGAUUACGUCCCUGCCCUUUGUACACACCGCCCGUCGCUCCUACCGAUUGAAUGAUGAGGUGAAAUCUCGGGACUGUGGCAAGCCAGAGGUUCGCUUCUGGCGAGCUAUGGGAACUUGAGUAAACCUUAUCAUUU
rnacentral:rRNA from 1 species